rnacentral:rRNA from 1 species
UACAGAGGGUGCGAGCGUUGUUCGGAAUUACUGGGCGUAAAGGGCGCGUAGGCGGCGCGGUAAGUCACUUGUGAAAUCUCUGAGCUUAACUCAGAACGGCCAAGUGAUACUGCAGUGCUAGAGUGUGGAAGGGGCAAUCGGAAUUCUUGGUGUAGCGGUGAAAUGCGUAGAUAUCAAGAGGAACACCUGAGGUGAAGACGGGUUGCUGGGCCAACACUGACGCUGAGGCGCGAAAGCCAGGGGAGCAAACGGG